CGACUAGUCAGAGAGG
rnacentral:rRNA from 1 species